rnacentral:rRNA from 1 species
AGCGAACGCUGGCGGCAGGCCUAACACAUGCAAGUCGAACGAAGUCUUCGGACUUAGUGGCGGACGGGUGAGUAAUGCGUAGGAAGCUGCCCGAUAGAGGGGGAUACCAGUUGGAAACGACUGUUAAUACCGCAUAAUGUCUACGGACCAAAGUGUGGGACCUUCGGGCCACAUGCUAUCGGAUGCGCCUACGUGGGAUUAGCUAGUUGGUGAGGUAAUGGCUCACCAAGGCGACGAUCUCUAGCUGGUUUGAGAGGAUGAUCAGCCACACUGGAACUGAGACACGGUCCAGACUCCUACGGGAGGCAGCAGUGGGGAAUAUUGGACAAUGGGCGCAAGCCUGAUCCAGCCAUGCCGCGUGUGUGAAGAAGGCCUUCGGGUUGUAAAGCACUUUCAGCGAGGAGGAAGGGUGGUGUGUUAAUAGCACAUCAUUUUGACGUUACUCGCAGAAGAAGCACCGGCUAACUCUGUGCCAGCAGCCGCGGUAAAAC